UGACACUGAACAUUGAGCCUUGAUGUGUAGGAUAGGUGGGAGGCUUUGAAGUGUGGACGCCAGUCUGCAUGGAGCCGGCCUUGAAAUACCACCCUUUAAUGUUUGAUGUUCUAACGUUGGCCCCUGAUCGGGGUUGCGGACAGUGUCUGGUGGGUAGUUUGACUGGGGCGGUCUCCUCCUAAAGAGUAACGGAGGAGCACGAAGGUUGGCUAAUCCUGGUCGGACAUCAGGAGGUUAGUGCAAUGGCAUAAGCCA
rnacentral:rRNA from 1 species